rnacentral:rRNA from 1 species
AUGAUCAGGUAUUCGCCCCCCCUUCCUGAGGGCUUGUACAAUCCGGUACUGGACAAGACGCUCUCGCCGGCGCCUUAUCUAGUGCCCUCAAAGGAAGAUGAAGGGGGGAAUAAAGAGGGUGAAAGCGGACCUCACUCGCUACUCAUUCCAACUGGGGGAAUGAGUGCCUCCGUGAGGGAGGAUAACCAAGGGAAGAAUCUGACAUUCUCUCUCCCCGGGGAAGGAAGAGGACUACCUCUGAAGAUCCGGAAAAUAAGGUUUCCAAACGGGAGAAGAAAUCUUCACCAGAGGGUCCUGCCUCGGAGGGCAUUCUAG